AUCCUGCUGUGGUCUGUCACUAACCCCCAGGCAACCUGCUACUGCCGUGGUCUGUCACUAACCCCCAGGCAACCUGCUACUGUUGUGAUCUGUCACUAACCCCCAGACAUCCUGCUGUGGUCUGUCACUAACCCCCAGGCAUCCUUCUACUGCUGUGAUCUGUCACUAACCCCCAGGCACCCUGCUGUGGUCUGUCACUAACUCCCAGGCAUACUGCUGUGGUCUGUCACUAACCCCCAGGCAUCCUGCUACUGCUGUGGUCUGUCACUAACCCCCAGGCAUCCUGCUACUGCUGUGGUCUGUCAUUAACCUCCAGGCAUCCUGCUGUGGUCUGUCACUAACCCCCAGGCAUCCUGCUGUGGUCUGUCACUAACCCCCAGGCACCCUGCUGUGGUCUGUCACUAACUCCCAGGCAUACUGCUGUGGUCUGUCACUAACCCCCAGGCAUCCUGCUACUGCUGUGGUCUGUCUGAGUACAACAAUGCCACUAUCAUUAUUAUUUCAACUUUAAGGUUAAAGUUGAAUGACUGGAUGGUCUAGCACAUUGAAUACCAUGAGACAGACACGUGUCCAGGAUAGUGUAACGGUCAUAAUGAUGUGACAUUAAAUCUCCCUCUGUCCCAGGUGGUUAAAGAGAAUGGUGGGACCCCUGGUCAUAAUGAUGUGACAUUAAUUCUCCCUCUGUCCCAGGUGGUUAAAGAGAAUGGUGGGACCCCUGGUCAUAAUGAUGUGACAUUAAAUCUCCCUCUGUCCCAGGUGGUUAAAGAGAAUGGUAGGACCCCUGGUCAUAAUGAUGUGACAUUAAAUCUCCCUCUGUCCCAGGUGGUUAAAGAGAAUGGUGGGACCCCUGGUCAUAAUGAUGUGACAUUAAAUCUCCCUCUGUCCCAGGUGGUUAAAGAGAAUGGUGGGACCCCUGGUCAUAAUGAUGUGACAUUAAAUCUCCCUCUGUCCCAGGUGGUUAAAGGGAAUGGUGGGACCCCUGGUCAUAAUGAUGUGACAUUAAAUCUCCCUCUGUCCCAGGUGGUUAAAGAGAAUGGUGGGACCCCUGGUCAUAAUGAUGUGACAUUAAAUCUCCCUCUGUCCCAGGUGGUUAAAGGGAAUGGUAGGACCCCUGGUCAUAAUGAUGUGACAUUAAAUCUCCCUCUGUCUCAGGUGGUUAAAGAGAAUGGUAGGACCCCUGGUCAUAAUGAUGUGACAUUAAAUCUCCCUCUGUCCCAGGUGGUUAAAGGGAAUGGUAGGACCCCUGGUCAUAAUGAUGUGACAUUAAAUCUCCCUCUGUCCCAGGUGGUUAAAGAGAAUGGUGGGACCCCUGGUCAUAAUGAUGUGACAUUAAAUCUCCCUCUAUCCCAGGUGGUUAAAGAGAAUGGUGGGACCCCUGGUCAUAAUGAUAUGACAUUAAAUCUCCCUCUGUCCCAGGUGGUUAAAGGGAAUGGUGGGACCCCUGGUCAUAAUGAUGUGACAUUAAAUCUCCCUCUGUCCCAGGUGGUUAAAGGGAAUGGUAGGACCCCUGGUCAUAAUGAUGUGACAUUAAAUCUCCCUCUGUCCCAGGUGGUUAAAGGGAAUGGUAGGACCCCUGGUCAUAAUGAUGUGACAUUAAAUCUCCCUCUGUCCCAGGUGGUUAAAGAGAAUGGUGGGACCCCUGGUCAUAAUGAUGUGACAUUAAAUCUCCCUCUGUCCCAGGUGGUUAAAGAGAAUGGUAGGACCCCUGGUCAUAAUGAUGUGACAUUAAAUCUCCCUCUGUCCCAGGUGGUUAAAGGGAAUGGUGGGACCCCUGGUCAUAAUGAUGUGACAUUAAAUCUCCCUCUGUCCCAGGUGGUUAAAGGGAAUGGUAGGACCCCUGGUCAUAAUGAUGUGACAUUAAAUCUCCCUCUGUCCCAGGUGGUUAAAGGGAAUGGUAGGACCCCUGGUCAUAAUGAUGUGACAUUAAAUCUCCCUCUGUCCCAGGUGGUUAAAGGGAAUGGUAGGACCCCUGGUCAUAAUGAUGUGACAUUAAAUCUCCCUCUGUCCCAGGUGGUUAAAGGGAACCUUAAUGGAGAAAUAGAGGAAAAUCUGUCAAUAUAUUCCUCCUCUCUCUCUC